CUUGCCCUUCUGUUCUGAAACCACACCUCUACUUGUCUGGGUCUCAGGCCCAGCUGCUUGGCCAAUGCCAACUUUUGCUUUGGGUUGAGAGUGUUGUGUUCCUUGAAGCUCUCUUCAAGAAUAGCAGACUGAUCUUUAGAGAGCCUGAGCUUCUUUCUUGAGGUAUCGCCAUCUUCCUCAUCACUGAUUCCACGAGAACAAUCUCUCUCCAUUUCGUGUUCCUCUCCAUUCCCUUCCCUUUCGCUUCUCUUUCCGCUUACACUCGAUAUAGUGCUGUUCGGGGAUGAGACACCCGCUUCCUCUUCGCAGUCGGCUGUUGAAGGCAGCCUGUUCACAUCGAUUCCUCGCAGGAAUGACCUCGUAUCGGCGCGGCACGAAUCAGAAUUUGGAUCUGAAGAAUGGAAGGUAUCAUUCCAUGAGGGUUUUUGAGAAAUAACAGAAGAUGGGACAAGUGAAGGCAUGAGAUUAAGCUGCAAAGAAUUGUAAUUUUGAGGAAAACUCAAGCUUAAGCUCAAACCCAAAUCUUCUUUCUCAACCGCCAUCUUCCUGGUUUACCAACAAGAAGUAGAGAAACAAAUAGUAAUGUCUGCGUGUGUGUGUAUAUAUAUAUAUAUAUAUGCAAGUACAGGUAUAUAUUAGAAAAGAAGUUCGUAUGCGUAUAGCCAAGAAGAAGAAGAAAAAGAAGGCAGAGGGUUUCCUGGCUUGGGGUUUGGUUUGAAACGACAGAGAGAGAGAGAGAGAGAGAGAGACAAGGAGUUA
rnacentral:misc_RNA from 1 species